AUUGAACGCUGGCGGCAGGCCUAACACAUGCAAGUCGAGCGGAUGAAGGGAGCUUGCUCCUGGAUUCAGCGGCGGACGGGUGAGUAAUGCCUAGGAAUCUGCCUGGUAGUGGGGGAUAACGUCCGGAAACGGGCGCUAAUACCGUAUACGUCCUGAGGGAGAAAGUGGGGGAUCUUCGGACCUCACGCUAUCAGAUGAGCCUAGGUCGGAUUAGCUAGUUGGUGGGGUAAAGGCCUACCAAGGCGACGAUCCGUAACUGGUCUGAGAGGAUGAUCAGUCACACUGGAACUGAGACACGGUCCAGACUCCUACGGGAGGCAGCAGUGGGGAAUAUUGGACAAUGGGCGAAAGCCUGAUCCAGCCAUGCCGCGUGUGUGAAGAAGGUCUUCGGAUUGUAAAGCACUUUAAGUUGGGAGGAAGGGCAAUAAGUUAAUACCUUGCUGUUUUGACGUUACCAACAGAAUAAGCACCGGCUAACUUCGUG
rnacentral:rRNA from 1 species